rnacentral:misc_RNA from 1 species
CACCCCUCAAACCCCCGGGUUUGACGUUGGGCGCCGCCCUGACCGGGCGCGCCUGAAAGGCAGCGAUGGUGACCGUGAACCUCCAAGCGCACAGAUGUCGCUACGCGAGGGCGCGGGGACCAGCCUUUUAAUUAUUUCUGAA